ACAAGUGACUGUUUGGCUGCUUCCAUGCAUACCUUAUGGAAUUUUUGGAGGGAAUGUGUCAUCGUUGUGUUGCCAAGGUGUAUACUCUUUGAAUGCAGCCUACAAGAAUGGGGAUGAUCGAAGAGGAGCAUGCCAAUGCAUUAAGGACAGAGCUGCACUCAUCCCAGGCAUCGACUAUAACUAUGUUAAUGAAGUUCCUGAAAAAUGUGGCACUAAGUGUCCCUUCAAAGUCUACCCUUCUACUAACUGUUCUGCGUAAGUAUCCUUCAUUUUUCUUUCUGCUAUCAAAUUUCCCUUUUUUUCAUCUCUAAAUAAUCUCACAGUUACUCUUAAACUUUAUGUUUUUUAUGUGAUUCUGCAGUGUGAACUAAGCCAGCAAUUAUCAGCAGAAGGGUGCAAUAUUAUUGUAUGAAUAAUGAAAAACAAUUAUGCGUGUAUCUAGAUAUAGAAGGAAAUAAGGAGUAUGGAUUGUGUGUAACGAUCCAAUGAAUGUCUUCAAGUAUAUAUAUAUAUGUCAGCAAUAAAGAUAUUUCCCUUUAAUUUAUCAUUUUCUUCAAGGCUCUGUGAUGUGAAACUGAU
rnacentral:lncRNA from 1 species